GAUGAACGCUGGCGGCGUGCCUAAUACAUGCAAGUCGAGCGAACGGACGAUAAGCUUGCUUCUCUGAUGUUAGCGGCGGACGGGUGAGUAACACGUGGAUAACCUACCUAUAAGACUGGGAUAACUUCGGGAAACCGGAUCUAAUACCGUAUGAUAUUUUGAACCGCAUGGUUCAAAAGUAAAAUACGGUCUUGCUGUCACUUAUAGAUGCAUCCGCGCUGCAUUAGCUAGUUGGUAAGGUAACGGCUUACCAAGGCAACGAUGCAUAGCCGACCUGAGAGGGUGAUCGGCCACACUGGAACUGAGACACGGUCCAGACUCCUACGGGAGGCAGCAGUAGGGAAUCUUCCGCAAUGGGCGAAAGCCUGACGGAGCAACGCCGCGUGAGUGAUGAAGGUCUUCGGAUCGUAAAACUCUGUUAUUAGGGAAGAACAUAUGUGUAAGUAACUGUGCACAUCUUGACGGUACCUAAUCAGAAAGCCACGGCUAACUACGUG
rnacentral:rRNA from 1 species